UAAAUGUUUUUAUGCUUUUAUCCAAAACAGAGAUCAAAACCUGAAAUUCUUUUUGAAGAUUUCACUGAAAAAUUACAGCUGGAACACCAGCUUGGCCGAGGAGCAUUUGGCCGCGUGCACAAGGGUCGCAAUCUUAUAACCAACAAUGUUGUGGCCGUUAAAGUGUUGGAUAUUGACGAGG